CCCUCAUACCCCCGAGACCUGGGCUCUGGAGCCAGCCUUCCUGGGCACAAAUGGCCCCUUGCCUGCCGCCUACUAGCUGUGUGACCUCAGGCACACACGUAACCUCUCUGGGCCUCAGUUUCCUUAUCUGACAAGUGGAGGGACAGUUACCCUCUGUAGGGUGGUCCUGAGGCUGGUGGCAGGUGAGCAUGAUGAGCACAUGGUGGGGUCUGAGGGGUGUCCUGACUUACGGGCUGUCAUUCUUUCACCCUCUGUGCAUUUAGCGUUGUCCUUGGGAGACUUCAGCCCCCUGUGAUCCUGCUGCCUCUCAGGGUGGAGGCCACCUCCAGGGUGAGGCUAAGGGGCCAGGUGAGGUGACACUAGGGAGCUGCUCCCUGGAUCCUCAGUGACCCGCUGUGAGGCUGCAGCUGGGAAGCGGGAGCAGAGGGGCCGUGGGACGGGGACAGCUUCUUCUGCACCACCCUGCGCUGGCCUCCCUUCCGGCUGCGUCCUCACCUCCUGAGCCUCGCCAGCAGAAGGGACCUUACUGGGCAGCUGUUACUCCUGCAGACAGAAUGCUGUCCAGGAAGCUUCCGGAAGAGCCCAAGCAGGGAGACUCUGCCGACUAGAGGAAGCAUCAGGGUGUCCUUGGGACCAGUGCUCAGGCCACGGGAUCUGCUAGGGACCCCCAUCUUUCUCGUGGACCGUGGGUUGUCUCGUCUGUCAAGCCCAGGUCACAGCUGAGACACGGAGGCCAAGAGGGGACAGCUUGCUGGGUCAGAGCCAGGCCUGGAGCUAGGGUGGGGACCUGGUCUUCUUAGUGCUAGCAGACAGAAGGUCAUUGCUUUAAGAGGGAAUCCUCCAGUGGGUGGUGGUCAAACUGUGCCCCAUGGGACCCCAAAGGGUUCCAAGGAACGCCUCAGACUCCUGAGAUCCACAGCUGAUCCCCAACCAGAAGGAACUUCUGGACAGGCCACAGAUGUCCUCUCACCAUCUGCCGCUGGCCCAGAAGCCUGCCUCCAGGGCUGGUGCCCCCAUGCUCCAUGGCAAAGCCCAGGCCUCCGUGCUGACCCUGCCUCUGUCACCUCCCCUGAGAAAGGACUGGCCUUCCUGUCCCUGGGAAAAUGAGCAGAGCACCUCCAGCUCACCUACUGUGAACCCCAC
rnacentral:lncRNA from 1 species